UACGGAGGGCGCAAGCGUUAAUCGGAAUUACUGGGCGUAAAGCGCAUGCAGGUGGUUUGUUAAGUCAGAUGUGAAAGCCCUGGGCUCAACCUAGGAAUCGCAUUUGAAACUGACAAGCUAGAGUACUGUAGAGGGGGGUAGAAUUUCAGGUGUAGCGGUGAAAUGCGUAGAGAUCUGAAGGAAUACCGGUGGCGAAGGCGGCCCCCUGGACAGAUACUGACACUCAGAUGCGAAAGCGUGGGGAGCAAACAGG
rnacentral:rRNA from 1 species